AUGGAGCAUGCUAACUGCGAUGCACACGAGCAUGUUAUAAAUGUAGCACAUGGGGAAACCGCAUCAACAUCAACCAGUCAUCAAGAUCUGCACAGUGAUACGGAUGAACCACAUCAGGAAGAUCGGCCUUCAACAAGCACACGAACGCCAUCGCCAGUGUCUUCAGCAUCAACAUCACCAACUGCUUACAGCUCCAGAAAUUUAUCAUUUCCUAGAAGAGAUAGUUUCUAUGGUCGUGGAACAAGUCUUUGGAAUUCUGGUUUAUGGAUCUCGUUUGAAUUUGUCAUGUAUGUAGCACAGAUUACAGCUGCUAUUGUCAUCCUCAUCUUGUCAAGACAUGAACUUCCUCAUGCCCCUUUAGUUGCAUGGAUAAUUGGUUAUACAGUUGGCUGCACUGCAAGUCUUCCUCUUGUAUAUUGGCGCUAUGUCCAUCGAAACAGACCUUCGGAGGAAGAACCUGAACAGCCACCUACAACUUAUCCUACUUUGACUUCAUCUUCAUCAGAAGGACGCAAUCAGCGUACCGGUGGUACUGUCUUGCAUCUUGGGUGUAUCACAAUUGCUUGUCCAAGGCCUAGCAUAUUGGCUUAUCAUUCCAAGACAGCUGUAGACUGUUUCUUUGCUAUAUGGUUUGUUGUUGGCAAUGUGUGGCUUUUUGGUGGGCGUGGCACUUCAUCAGAUGCUCAGGACGCUCCAAAUAUGUAUAGGCUAUGUUUAGCGUUCCUUGCACUUAGUUGUGUUGGGUAUGCCAUUCCGUUCAUCAUGUGUGCAGCGAUAUGCUGCUGCUUUCCAUGCUUAAUUUCCGUUUUGCACCUCCAAGAGGAUUUGGGUCAAAGUAGAGGAGCUACUCAAGAGCUAAUCGAUGCAUUGCCAACCUACAAAUUUAAACCAAAACGAAGCAAAAACUGGGUGCUUGAUCAUGCUUCGAGCUCCGAGAAUCUUAGCGAGGGUGGCAUCCUGGGCCCAGGAACUAAGAAGGAAAGGGUUGUUUCUGCUGAAGAUGCUGUUUGCUGCAUCUGCCUUACUAAGUACGGAGAUGACGAUGAGCUCCGUGAGCUUCCUUGCAACCAUUUGUUUCAUGUGCAAUGUGUCGAUAAAUGGCUCAAGAUAAAUGCAGUAUGCCCACUCUGCAAGACAGAGAUUGGAGGCGUGGUUCGAUCAUUCUUUGGAUUGCCCUUUGGCCGCCGCCGUGUUGAUAGGAUGGCAGGAAGAGGUGUAGCUAGCUCAAGAUUUAGUGUAUAG
rnacentral:rRNA from 1 species